CAAUUGCCGUUGAUGGGGAAAAGUAGUGAAGAUCCACAUGAAAAGAGAGGAAAAGCCCGGGGCUGAAAGCUUUUCUGCAUGCUGACUUGAUGAAUGAACACUCCGUAGGCUCUCUUCUGAACCUUGGCUGAUGCCAUCAUUAGGAAGGGACGUAUGCAGGCGUUAACUGUUAAAGAGGAAGGCUUUAUGCCUUCAAUUAGGGUGGUACCACGGGAAGCAAAGGCUCUCGUCCCUUGU
rnacentral:ncRNA from 1 species